rnacentral:rRNA from 1 species
AGUCCCGCAACGAGCGCAACCCUUGUCCUCUGUUGCCAUCACGUAAUGGUGGGCACUCUGAGGAGACUGCCGGUGAUAAACCGGAGGAAGGUGGGGAUGACGUCAAGUCAGCAUGGCCUUUAUGUCUGGGGCUACACACGUGCUACAAUGGCCGGUACAAAGCGUCGCAAACUCGCGAGGGGGAGCUAAUCGCAGAAAGCCGGUCUCAGUUCGGAUUGUAGGCUGCAACGCGCCUGCAUGAAGUCGGAAUCGCUAGUAAUCGCGGAUCAGCAUGCCGCGGUGAAUACGUUCCCGGGCCUUAUACUCACCGCCCGUCACAUCACGAAAGCCGGCUGCACAGGACCUCUUCGCUAACCCGCAAGGGGGGCAGGCGCCUAAGGUA